GAGUUUGAUUAUGGCUCAGGAUGAACGCUGGCGGCGUGCUUAACACAUGCAAGUCGAGCGAGAAUGUAUGGAUGACGCUUCGGUAGAUUCCAUACAGGAAAGCGGCGGACGGGUGAGUAACGCGUAGGCAACCUGCCCUGUACAGAGGGAUAGCGUCGGGAAACCGGCAUUAAACCCUCAUGAUACCACACGGUCACAUGGCCGAGUGGUCAAAGAUUCAUCGGUAUGGGAUGGGCCUGCGUCUGAUUAGUUGGUUGGUGGGGUAACGGCUCACCAAGGCGAUGAUCAGUAGCCGACCUGAGAGGGUGAACGGCCACAUUGGAACUGAGACACGGUCCAAACUCCUACGGGAGGCAGCAGUGGGGAAUAUUGCACAAUGGGCGCAAGCCUGAUGCAGCAACGCCGCGUGAGCGAAGAAGGCCUUUGGGUCGUAAAGCUCUGUCCUGGGGAAAGAAAGAAAUGACG
rnacentral:rRNA from 1 species